CAGUCGCCGCGGGAAUACAGAGGGUGCGAGCGUUAAUCGGAUUUACUGGGCGUAAAGCGUGCGUAGGCGGCUUCUUAAGUCGGAUGUGAAAUCUCUGAGCUUAACUUAGGAAUUGCAUUCGAUACUGGGAAGCUAGAGUAUGGGAGAGGAUGGUAGAAUUCCAGGUGUAGCGGUGAAAUGCGUAGAGAUCUGGAGGAAUACCGAUGGCGAAGGCAGCCAUCUGGCCUAAUACUGACGCUGAGGUACGAAAGCAUGGGGAGCAAACAGGAUUAGAUACCCGCGUAGUCCCUGUCUCUUAUAC
rnacentral:rRNA from 1 species